AUGGGAAGCCCGCUGGGCAGCUGGCCGAGCCACAACCCGCAGAACUUCAGCCAGCUCGUCCCGGCCGAUCCCUCCGCCCAGCCCACGAAUGUCUCACCAACAACAUACAUUGCAGCACAUAGGACAGAUCCACCUCCCGAUCAAGUGAUCACGACGGAGCCCAGGAACAUCCUGUUGAGGCAUUUCUACCAGAACUCGGAGAACAAGCCGAGGCCGAAGAGGGCCGCCCCGGAGAGUGCUGCCCUGCGCAACGGCAAGCAGGCGCGGAGCCCCGCUGAGGGCGGAAGCCAGUCGAGCACGAGAAGCUGA
rnacentral:rRNA from 1 species